rnacentral:tRNA from 1 species
GGACCCGUAGCUCAGCCUGGAUAGAGCGGUUGGCUUCGGACCAACAGGUCUAGGGUUCGAAUCCCUACGGGCCCU